GUGGGUCCCAAGAUGGGAGCUGGGGAUGGGCCGGGUGCCGGGUGGCAGUCGGGGCUGGCGGCGGCGGCAACCUCGGGCCCUGGACACCUUCACCCCGCCGCCUGCCCAGGCGGGCCGGCCCUGCCCGUCCACCGGCCGCCGAGAGACCCCGGCCUUGGGCCCCCGGGGCCGCUGACUGGCCUCGGUCACCUCCCGGGGAAGGCUCCCGCGCCUUCAUCUGCCCCCGCAGGAAGGGACCGUCUUCUCGCCUGCGAGGCUUCUCCGGGUGGGAUCGUCCUGGCCCCCAGCCCUAAGGUAUCCGCCCCCUCCGAGCCUCCGCCGCCCCUCGGAGACCACUUCCGCUCGGACGGACCCACUCCAGCCACCGCUGCACGCGGAAGCGCUCAUCCUCCCCGCCUGCCCCUUUCCCUCCGCCUUCUUCUGUGGGACAACCAGGGACCACAGCUCCCCGCUCCGCAGGUGUGGGGGCUCCGACACGAACGCCUCUGCUUGCAGGGCAGUGAGCGCAGAUCCCACGGGUCCCUCGGUCGGGGGUCAAGGCUGCUUCCGUUUCCAUCUCGGAGCCGACAAUGGGCGGGAAAAAGAAGACUUUACACGACUACGCGGCGGAGUUCACCGACCUGGUGGUGAAGCAGCACCUGAUUGAGCACAGUAACUCUGGGGACACGUCUGUGGUGGAGACCCUUUACUGCAGGGCCUGCGAGCUGCCCAUGCGCGUGCGGAGGGACUGCAUCCUGGAACACCUGUCUUCGGGCAGGCACUGCAGGAACCGCAGACUCAUCCGACAGCACGGCCUGCGGACGCCCAUUCUCAUGUAAAUGUCAGUUGCCAACGCUGGUGUUUCAGGAGACAUCCCAGCGGGCUGCGGGCUAUUUUAGGAUUCUCUGCCCUGCAAACGUUUCCGAAGUAUGUGGACAGGCCGCCUGAUGACACUACGUUUACGGGAUCUGCUAGUGGCUUGCCCAUUUAGGGAGUAAACCCUGUGAAGUCUCGCCGUUUUGUUGAAGUGUGCGUGGCCACCUGAAUGCUGCCUUAUCACAAGCCAGAUACAUACUGGUCUGCAGGGUAACUCCCCACUGUUGAUCCUCUCAGAUGAUUGUGGACUGGGUGCUGUGAGUCCUGCCACUUUGUUUAAGUGAAUGUGCCUUUUGUCCAGCUCAGCCGCCUCGGAUCUCGCUGCCACCGGCCUUACUGCACACCCGUGCCACCCGCCCUUGCCCCGUCAGCCUCAGCCUCGGCUCAUUCUCUCAGGCAGUCCCAGCAUUGGCACAGUACCUCCUCCCACUGUGGGCCACACGUCUGUGCUCCCUGUCAACCCUACUGCCAUCAGCACCACCACCAGCGACUUGUCUGCCCAGGAGGAUGCAACACCAUCUACCUCCACCGGCCACCUUUCAGUGUCUCCUGCUUUCCAAGUAAAGACACCAGCAGUGCCCUCAGAGCAGACCAGCCAGAGAUUUUCUGAAGCCUCCCACAGGGUGCUCUCUGGAGGAGGCCUGAGAUGCUCUCGUGACUUUGGAGCCGGGGUGGCUGGCCACCUUGGCCUGGCCGGCCACCUUGGCCUGGCCAUCUUUGGGGUGGGCUUCGGGAGCCCGGCACUGCUGCAGAGUGUGGUGGAUGAGAACAGCUGCUGCUUGCUGUACGUGGUGGAGGACCAGCUGUGUGACGUGGAGCGAGCCUUCAGAGCUGAGCAUUUGGCCAAUACCAGAGUGGUUCGGGAACAGGAUGCGGACAUCGUCCUCAACCACCAGCGGCGCUUUGAUCCGGCUUUCCAGUUCUUGCACAAGCAAGUUUGUGUCAGCCACGCCCUGGGGAGGAUCCACCGGAUCACCGCAGUCAGCAGCCUGUUCCCAGCGGCCUCUCUGGCUUCCCUAAAGAGGGCAGGUGGGAUUUUCUACAACGCUGCUGUGCACGACGUGGAUGCCGUAUGCAUGUUGCUGGGGAAGCCACUCCGGACACUGUGUUUUUUCUGGGACGUGGCUUCUGCCCAGAUAUGGCCGCCUUAAAAGAUGCAGACGCUGUUGGGAUCAGCAUGAAGUUUCCCUGUGAGGCUGUGGUCAGCAUGGACGUCAGCCAGCACUGCACAGACAGCUGCGACCAGGACGUCAGCCAGCACUGCGCAGACAGCUGCGACCAGGACGUCAGCCAGCACUGCGCAGACAGCUGCGACCAGGACGUCAGCCAGCACUGCGCAGACAGCUGCGACCAGAGACUGGAGGUGACCACUGCCCUUUUCCACCCUUUGCCAGUCCACUGUGAAAAGCUGGGUUGAUUGUGCGGGUUAGAUAGAGGUCGUCAGCCGGGUUGAUUCCGCAGGUUAGAUAGAGGUCGUCAGCCAGGUUGAUCCUGCUGGUUAGAUAGAGGUCAUCACCCGGCCCAGGUGGGUGGGUCCCAAGGCGUGCUGCCGAUGGAGAAUCAGAAUCCCUUGGGCAUUACUGGGCGGGGCAUGUCCCUGUCCCUCGGCUCCCAGACCAGGCUAGCUGCUACCAGGACUCCUAUCGAGAGCUCUUCAGACACUUUGUCAGAACCCUUAAAGGUGGGUGACAUUCUCAGGAGGAACCUGGGAUGUCCUGAUGCUCAACGGGUAGAUGCCUUCCAGGCUGCAGUCAGUGCAGAUGAUAUGCCAAUCUUCAGGUGGAAAAUUGCAUUCCAGAUACUGGGUUCAGAUUUGAAAUUGUCCAUCUCAGUGAUCAUUUGCGUUGCGUGUACUUGAGGGAGAUUCUGAGAGAUGCUCCUUUGGGGUUCUGUGCAUGUACCAUGUUGCCUGACAUGUCCUAAAAAAUCUUGUUGAACUCUGAGGUUUAUAAAAUGAUAACUACUUCUGAACUCCUGAGAUCUAGUGGAUAACAUGUGUCCUGGAAGAUAGGACACCUUCUACCCUCUGUCAGUCCUGGGGGUGACUGGGAACCAGGGAGGUUGAGCAGAAUUCCUGGACCUGGGUGGGGCUUGUCCAAGAGGGGCAGGUGGGCCUCUCUAGGAUCAGUGUCCCACCCAGAGGCCAGUGGCCCCUUCACAUGCCCCAACAAGAAGAAGACUGGCUCCGAUGUGUUGGGUUUUGUCCUGAAUCUGUGCAAAUGUGCAGGGAAAGAACCUCCUGAAAUCACCAAAGAGCAGUUCCUCAGGGCCUUCUGGGUGGCCGUGGCCGCGGAGCAGUCGUGGUGGAACCGGUCAGCUGUGGACCUGCCCUGUGAAUCGGCAGAGGGCUCUGUGGUGAGGACAGAAGCUCCAUGAACCAACCCGAGGCUGGAGCCAAGAUCCUGCCCGAUAUCCAGUUGCCUGUUUCACUUGUCGCUGUUACUGGGAGAGGGAGACAGAACCUCAUGGCGGUCUUGUCCUCACUGGAGACUCAGAAGGGGAAUCAUUGGGAAACCGUGUAUGUUUCACUUCUGGUGUAACCAGACUUUUCAGGAUGUGACUUCAGACCGAGGACACAAGUUGGGCUUGCUUAGCUGUUUUGUGUUGCAUGCAGGCCUCAGAGAUGCUCUUCCGGUCAGAGUUCCCUUGGCAGGGCCUCGGAGGCCUCUGGUUGGCUCUGUCAGGAAGAGGGCAGGUCAGGGAUUGGAUAGUGUAAAUUGACCCAGAAACCCGCAGUUUCAGCUUUUCUGUGGCAAAUGGGGCCGAGGGCUGGUGAAGCUGUUAAGACUAAAUGUCUCAUGCAUGAGGCAGGCUGCAGGCCUCCUUAGGCCUUUUUUGGGGUAAUUAUACCACUAUUUAAAAACAUUUUUUUUUGUUUGUUUUGAGACAGGGUCUUGCCCUGUCACCCAGGCUGGAGUGCAGUGGUAUGAUCUCGGCUCACUGCAACCUCCGCCUCCCGGGUUCAAGCGAUUCUUUUGCCUCAGACUUCUGAGUAGCUGGGAUUACAGGCAUGCGCCACCAUGCUCGGCUAAUUUUUGUACUUUUAGUAGAGACGGGGUUUCACCAUGUUGUCCAGGCUGGUCUCGAACUGCUGACCUCGUGAUCCACCUGCCACGGCCUCCCAAAGUGCUGGGAUUACAGGCGUGAGCUACCAUGCUCGGCCUAAAAAACAAUUUUCUUGAAGAAUCUGAUUUUGUGCAUAGUAAUGAUACAGCACCAUUCCUGAGAAAAAGGAAAUAUAUGUGUGUGGUAUGAAAAGCCCAUAUUCUGUUCUUGCCGCCUGAAUCUAGGCUUCCUCUUUGGAUGUGAACACGGGAAUGAACAGUGGCUGUUUUCCACCCAACGGGGUGUGGAGAUCUUUUGGAAAUGGGCUUUCUCCUUUCCAUUUUGCAGCUGGGGGUGGAUGGAAACCUUCCUUCGAAGGGUAGUGACUUGGGGAGCAGCAGACCGGCUCCGAGUCCAGCUUAGCUUUCCAAAAUUCUGUGUGAAACCUACUGAAGAUGUUCUUAGAUAUUUGAAAAUAAUGGCCUGUAUUUCUCAUGCUAUACUUAAAAAAAUAACUAACCUUUUAAACAAAGAUAUUCAAACUCACCCUUGUGCCGAAAGCGCUCACGUUUCUGUGUUCAUUCCUGAAAGGGCGUUUUAGAGUCCCCGUUUCUACGUUCUGUGUGGCACCCUCUUGCCAAGGGAACAUCCAGAAUCCCUCCACUUCCUGUCUAGUUUGAGGCCUCAAUACGUUCAUGAUCCAGAGUCCUGUGGCUGUGAGGGGGUGGGCCCACCGCUGCCCAGCCCUCCUUGGUGGACAUGGGGACAGGUAGGAGCCUAGGGAAAGGGGUGAGCGGGCUCUGGUGUGACGGCAUGAGCGCUAGCCAGGAAGGUGGGGCCAGGGCCAGGCAUGGCGUGUCACCUGCACCUCACCUGUCGGGGAACUCGGUGGAGCUUCCUGGCGGCAUCUCUCCCUCUUGCCUUGGUCCUUUCUAUCUUUGUUUCAGGCCAAUUUCUAAAAAGACUGAGGCCUCCUUCAAGGUUGAACAGAUUUCUAGAGCCUUGUUUUUGCUGUGACAGGUCCCUAGUCCCUGUUCACAACUCUGAAACCAAGAAACCUGAGAACCAAGAGAACUGAAAUGAAGCCCUUUGGUCUCAGCCUGGUUUGAGCCAACAUGAGGCUCUCUGCUGCCCUUUGUUUUCUUAGGUUUUGCUGAGAAACGGGAGUGCGUUCUGUGUGGGUGUUUGUGACACCCUGAGACCCUGCUUGGCCUAGCUAAAGUCUGGAAAGCCUGGGUCCCACAGGGCUUGCAUGAGGGCCAUGGGCCUGUACUUCAGGAGGCCUGAGAGGCCCGGUCAGUCCCAUGAGGCUACUCAGCUUGGCCCGCAGGUCCUCCGAGGCACAGGGCAGAGGGACACCCCAGGGACCCAUCAGACUCACGACACGGAGAAACUCAAGUGGGGUGCCAGGGCCGGCUGCAGAGACCACAGGCUUCCUGCCUGUGAGGAGCCGCCCUGUUUGUCUGAGCCCCUCGGAGAUUUAGGUUUAGCCAUAAGAACCGGUCAUUGGAAUGUACACUUUAUUAUGUUACAAAAACAAAAAUCCCCACCGAAACACAGCUAAAAAAAUAACACAUUUUCCCGAGAUUACAUUACCAAAAACAGUUGUUAUGUCAUUGGAGGGCGUCCAUUAAUACUGCUCGGAGAAGCACGAUCCUACACGAAAAACACGGAUGGGAUUUCGUUUUCACCUUAAAGCAUUAAAGUGCUUUAACUGGUAA
rnacentral:sRNA from 1 species